ensembl:lncRNA
UUGGGAAAGCAACCUGAAGCAGUCUGUGUUUCCUUGUUCUCCCAAGCUGCUCCCGGCGCUGUAACUAACCCAGCUGAACGGCAUACCUGAGUGUUACUUUAAAUAAUUAGGAAUCUUAGAAGGAAAGGACAGAACUCUGCUUAUCGCUCACGCCACGGAGGAAACCCGGGAAGGCAAUUUCCUUCAAUUUUGGUGUCAGAAGUGGGAUCCCUGACAGAAGCUUUUCCCCUCCACAGUUCCACCAGUGGAGACAAGGAGACGCAUGUUGGAGAAGCCACUAAAACCAAGGACUCUCUGGGAGGCCGCGCGUGUUCCAGCCCCCAGACUGUACUGGCAGUGACGAAGAACCAGCAUCCUCACAGACGGACAACCUCAGUGGAUUCAUGCCAGCAGGGUUAAGACCAGCCCAAUCGGACCAUCUCAGGCGUCGGAUCAAGCAGACGACAUCUCCGGCGAGCCAGCGCCCGGAACUAGAGCAAAUAAACACACACGGGUAGAUGACAUCUCAGGCGAGCCAGCGCCCGGAUCCAGUACACACACACAAUCACUGAUUAACACACAACGUCUGAAAGAACAACAACAAGGUACUCAAACAUCCAGCAGGAACAGAAAGCCAAAAGUACCACAUGAUGUCUAACCUGAUGAAGCCAGACUCAUUUCAUCCUGAUAAUGGAGAAAAUGAAAUGCCCAUUGUCAUCAUACGACGCUUAUUCAAUGUCUCUCGAACCUGGGACCAGGCCAGGAGACAACUGAAGAACUGUUUUUCUUAUAUAUUGUCUUAUAUAUUUAGGUUAUUUAUCAUAUCUAUCGCAUUAACCUUAGGAUUUCUCUUUGCUAUUUUGUAUUGUAAACUGCAACCAUGUUCACAUUUCUGCAGGUCAUAUUUUGCUGACUAUACCUCAUGCUCCAUUUUGCAAGACACCUACUUAAUGCACUCCUCACGUUCCCUAAAAUCAGUAAAUAGCAACAUAGACGCCACUAAUAAACCAUUUUAUGCACCCUCUAGAACAGGAGCUAACGCCUGGUAUGAAAAUGCCAGAACAGCCGCUCGUGAUUUAGGAAACAGUAACUGUUAUGUCUGUUCAAAGGCUAAUCCAGAACAGGUAAUAGUAGGAUACCCCAUAUCCGGUUUCCCCCUCACUGAGGGACUAGAGAAAAUCAGCGGAAAUAAUGCUCUCUUUAAAGACGCUUUACAGUUGACUCUGAGCCCUCUCGACUGCUUACUUAGACACACACACACACCAACUAACCCUGAGACUCCAUUAGGCGAAUUAUUGAAGUUAUCUAAUGACACCGCAGGGACCUGCGCCCCAAUGAAACGCCCUAAGAAUAGGUUAAAGCCCUCACUGCCCUUAGGACAGAUCCCUCUCCAUUUUAAUACUAGUAUGAUAUGUCUGCGCAGACUAAAGUUAACUGGCCCAGACACACACAUAGAUUAUACAAAGGAUAACUAUACAUUCUUCUCUGACUCCCCAGGUGCGCGCUGUAAUGAGACAUGGCUAGCUGUCUCUGUGGCUGAAGUUGUAUCAUAUCUGGAGGAACACACACACAGUUCAAGUUCGAGCAGAG